rnacentral:rRNA from 1 species
UACGUAGGGGGCAAGCGUUGUCCGGAUUUAUUGGGCGUAAAGCGCUCGCAGGCGGCUCGAUGCGUCGUGCGUGAAACACCCCGGCUCAACUGGGGAGGGUCGUGCGAUACGGUCGGGCUGGAGGCCAGUAGGGGGAUGCGGAAUUCCGGGUGUAGUGGUGGAAUGCGUAGAGAUCCGGAGGAACACCAGCGGCGAAGGCAGUGUCCUGGGGAGUACCUGACGCUCAGGUGCGAAAGCCAGGGGAGCGAACGGG